rnacentral:rRNA from 1 species
GACGAACGCUGGCGGCGUGCUUAACACAUGCAAGUCGAGCGGUAAGGCCCUUUCGGGGGUACACGAGCGGCGAACGGGUGAGUAACACGUGGGUGACCUGCCCUCAGCUCUGGGAUAAGCCCGGGAAACUGGGUCUAAUACCGGAUAUGACUCCAUGACGCAUGUUGUGGGGUGGAAAGCCUUGUGCGGCUGAGGAUGGGCCCGCGGCCUAUCAGCUUGUUGGUGGGGUGAUGGCCACCAAGGCGACGACGGGUAGCCGGCCUGAGAGGGCGACCGGCCACACUGGGACUGAGAUACGGCCCAGACUCCUACGGGAGGCAGCAGUGGGGAAUCUUGCGCAAUGGGCGAAAGCCUGACGCAGCGACGCCGCGUGAGGGAUGACCGGCCUCGG